rnacentral:rRNA from 1 species
GACGAACGCUGGCGGCGUGCCUAAUACAUGCAAGUCGAACGCAGUGGGGACGGGUGAGUAAAACGUGGGUAACCUACCAUCAGAGGGGAUAACAGUUGGAAACAGGUGCUAAAACGAUACUGAUGGAUGGACCCGCGGUGCAUUAGCUAGUUGGUGAGGGAACGGCUCACCAGGGCCACGAUGCAUAGCCGACCUGAGAGGGUGAUCGGCCACACGGGGACUGAGCCACGGCCCAGACUCCUACGGUAGGCAGCAGUAGGGAAUCUUCGGCAAUGGACUAAAGUCUGACCUAGCAACGCCGCGUGAGUGAAGAAGGUUUUCGGAUCGUAAAGCUCUGUUGUUAGAGAAGCGGUAUCUAACCAGAAAGCCACGGCUAACUACGUGCCAGCAGCCGCGGUAAUUC